UAUAUACUCCCUCCGUCCGGAAAUACUUGUCAUCAAAAUGAAUAAAAGGGGAUGUAUCUAGAUGUAUUUUAGUUCUAGAUACAUCCCUUUUUGUCCAUUUUGAUGACAAGUAUUUUCGGACGGAGGGAGUACAUC
rnacentral:pre_miRNA from 1 species